rnacentral:tRNA from 1 species
GGCAGAGUCAGCUAAACAAAGCUCUUGGGCCCAUACCCCAAACAUGAUGGUUAAAACCCCUCCUCCGCCA